ACUGACCAUACUUGUUUACCAUCACGACCUUCAUCAACAGACAAGCAGGACAUAACUCUGUCAAGGUUUUUGACAGAAUUAUGCCCCUUUUUGACUUAGAAAAUACAUUGAAUAUGGGUAAAAUCCACUUAUUGCCUUAACCCUUUGAGAUAUUGCUUUGAAACUUUUAAUGCUAUUUCACAUCAUUACCCCCAUCUGUACGCAAGAGAAGGUAACUCUGUCAAGGAUUUGUUUUAAAAAUUAAGGCCUUUUAUCGACUUAGAAUCUUGGUUAAGUUUUUAGUACCAGUCCACUUUUUGACUGAACUGUUUGAGAUAUUAAUUUGAAAGUUGGAAUACUUGUUUACAAUCAUGAUUCCCAAACAUGUCCAGGAGAAGUUAAUUAUACCCCCGCACAACAAAGUUGUAAGGGGGGUAUACUGGAAUCAGCUUGUCCGUCCGUCCGGCCGUCCGGCUGUCCGGCCGUCCGGCCGUCCGUCGGUUUUUUCUUGUCCGCCCAAUAACUUAAGAUUCCUUUGACCCUUAGUCUUCAUAUUUGGCAUGGAGGUUAGUCAUGAUUAGUAGAUGACCCCUAUUGAUUUUGAGGUCACUAGGUCAAAGGUCAAGGUCACAGGGGCCUUGACUUCAAAAAGCUUGUCCGCCCAAUAACUUAAGUUUCCUUUGACCCUUAGUCUUCAUAUUUGGCAUGGAGGUUAGUCAUGAUUAGUAGAUGACCCCUAUUGAUUUUGAGGUCACUAGGUCAAAGGUCAAGGUCACAGGGGCCUUGACUUCAAAAAGCUUGUCCGCCCAAUAACUUAAGAUUCCUUUGACCCUUAGUCUUCAUAUUUGGCAUGGAGGUUAGUCAUGAUUAGUAGAUGACCCCUAUUGAUUUUGAGGUCACUAGGUCAAAGGUCAAGGUCACAGGGGCCUUGACUUCAAAAAGCUUGUCCGCCCAAUAACUUAAGA